ACCCUCCAGAUUCCUUACCCCUUGGACCUAAACCGUGGUCCGAGUGGCUGAAGAAAGGAGGAAAAGUACAAGUGAAGGGGACCCGGCGCCUUUAGUGACACACACACGGUCGGUUCAGACACAU
rnacentral:snoRNA from 1 species